CUUGUGAAAGAUGUUGCACUGGGCACUAUAGAAUCAGAGGGAAAAUGGUGAUCUAGUCCUUAUCUCCCAGACUGAGCCUAUGUUGUAAAUGACAAACUAAGAAAAGAAGAGUGAAUAUGGAUAUAGUCUAGAAAAUGGAGAAGAGCCUGAUAUAAGGUAAAAGGACAAGACUGUAUCUAAAGCACGGAUGUGAGAUAUUGUGGAGGCUUAAUUGAAGACUCUGACCACUGAUUGAAUGGACAGUGAGAAAACUGGCCAAGAACCUGAGUCUAAGGCGAGACAUCCACAUCAGCAGCAGCAGCAAUAACAUGUGGAGGACAAACUAGGUAUUAGGCCCUGUGCUAAGACUUCAUAUUAGAUGAUCUCAUUUAAUCUUCACAAUAAGUCUAUGUGCUCACCCUUUGUCACAGAUGAGAAGACCAAGGCCUAAGGGAUAUUAAAAAAAUUUGUCCAAGAUCAAGUAGCUAGCAAGUGGCAAAGCCAAGACUUGCCUGAAUCUGAAGAGGUCGUAAUACCGGUCAGUGACAAGCCUAAAAGCAAACUCUGUUUAUUACCAGCAUGUUUUAUGUAGGACAUGCAGAUCUUAUAAAAAGUUUAAUUUCACUUUUUUUUUUCCCCAGGUUAUUCAUUAUUUGAUUCAAGGAUAAACAGUACUUUCUUUUCAAGUAGGAGCCAGGAGCCUGUCAGAUUUUUAUUACAAUGGCAACAGAUCCCAUUUAAAGAAACUUGGCAAUCUUUCGCCACACUAGAUUUUGAUUCAAAUGGUGUGCCAAUAAUGGGAAGCUUUUUCUGCCAAGAUGCUGUAGCAUCAUGAUAGAGUCACCUUUACUCUCAACCACCGGUUAGAUCAAAAAUCCUCAAGCCCUGAGUGAAGAAAAUAAUUUUCCUUUCACCACCUCAUCACAUAUGACAAUAUUUGCAUUCCCAACAUCACCAUGUGCAGUCACAAAGUCAUUUCCAACAUGCCUGACUUUGAGCACUCUUGUAUGAACUAUCCUGGGUUUCUUCUGGAGCCUAACUUAAAUCUUCGCGGCCAGUGGGACCACUUAGAAGUUACUGCUUCAGUGCACUAAGUGGGCCCUUGGCGGCAUGAAACAAUUAAUGGCUUGUCCAGAAAUGCUUGGUUAUAGCUUAAAUCAAGAAUAAGAAUGAGGCUUUGUCUUGCUGCAUCUUCUACAAUGUAUUUUUAUAAGAGUGUAAACGUGUACACGUCAGAUGGAUUCCUAUGAUGUCUAUCAGUGCUCUGCUUAAAAUCUCAGGCUGCCUAGUGAGUGUUUCUCUUUCUCUAUAUAUUUAAUUAGCCAAUUAUGUUCUCUAGAGAGAGGUCGCAUUUGAAAAGACCUAUGCAAAGAAAGGCUAAAGGUGCAAAGUCAUACUAUGAUGAGAAUUUAGUGGCUCUGGUUAAAAAGAUAAAGCCGCCCGGUCACAAAAUAUUAAAGAAAUGAUGAGCAUCUGCUUCCAUAAAGUAAAUAACGUUUCUCAUCUUGUCUUUCCCUUGUAUAGGUGUGUCACUUAUUUUAUUCAUAAAUUUUUCCUGUAGUAAGAGAGGAAAUAAACAACGGUCUGCGUGAAAACUCUUUCCAGAGAAAGCAGUGGCAGGGGGAGAUAGUCUAUUUAAAGAGUAUUGUGUCUUUGGUUAAGCAGGAAAUGAAUUUGCUACAAAAGGUUGGAACCCGCUCUGAUAGAAUUGGAGGUAAUUAAAAUCUAAUGGUAGAACUAACCAUUUAAAUUGCAAUUUAAAUUGGUCAAAUAGGAUUGAAAUCAGAAUACUUGACAAGCUUAAAAUGAAACUAUAAGAGAUUCACUGUGUGCAUGCGAAAUAUUUGCUUACUCUGGAUUGAAAUGCACAUUGCAUGGAUGAAAUGAAAUACUUUCUAAAUUUAUAUGACUUUUCAUUAGUAUAAAAAGAUGGUUGUGAGGAUUUGCAUCUUACAACAUAUAAUGACAAAGAACAACUGGCAUAAAAUUAAAGGCUUUCAAUAACAAACAAAAGAUGAUUAGGUAUUUGCUGCUUAUGAGAUCUUAUUAUUUUAGUAUGUAUACUUUAUCAUAUAAAGUCUGAAGAUGGGAAUUGCAAAUUAUCAAAUUACAUUUAUGGCUGAUUUAACCUAAGGCCACAUGGUUAGGCUUAACAGAUAUUCUCACUCCAAGUGUGGAGAACUUACACUUACAAUGCAUAUGUUUCCACAUGUAAUUAUACUACUUUUUGUUAAUUUGUUAAUAUACUGAAGUAGUUUGACAUAUGAAGUAGAAGAAAUGUAGCUUUGCAUUUCUUACAGGAAAUUAAUAAAGCAUAAUAAUAAGGAA